ACUCCUACGGGAGGCAGCAGUGGGGAAUAUUGCACAAUGGGCGUAAGCCUGAUGCAGCAACGCCGCGUGAGGGAUGACGGCCUUCGGGUUGUAAACCUCUUUUAGUAGGGAAGAAGCGAAAGUGACGGUACCUGCAGAAAAAGCACCGGCUAACUACGUGCCAGCAGCCGCGGUAAUACGUAGGGUGCAAGCGUUGUCCGGAAUUAUUGGGCGUAAAGAGCUCGUAGGCGGUUUGUCGCGUCUGCUGUGAAAUCUGGGGGCUCAACCCCCAGCCUGCAGUGGGUACGGGCAGACUAGAGUGCGGUAGGGGAGAUUGGAAUUCCUGGUGUAGCGGUGGAAUGCGCAGAUAUCAGGAGGAACACCGAUGGCGAAGGCAGAUCUCUGGGCCGUAACUGACGCUGAGGAGCGAAAGCAUGGGGAGCGAACAGGAUUAGAUACCCUGGUAGUCCAUGCCGUAAACGUUGGGAACUAGAUGUAGGGGCCAUUCCACGGUUUCUGUGUCGCAGCUAACGCAUUAAGUUCCCCGCCUGGGGAGUACGGCCGCAAGGCUAAAACUCAAAGGAAUUGACGGGGGCCCGCACAAGCGGCGGAGCAUGCGGAUUAAUUCGAUGCAACGCGAAGAACCUUACCAAGGCUUGACAUAUACCGGAAACGUCCAGAGAUGGUCGCCCCGCAAGGUCGGUAUACAGGUGGUGCAUGGUUGUCGUCAGCUCGUGUCGUGAGAUGUUGGGUUAAGUCCCGCAACGAGCGCAACCCUCGUUCUAUGUUGCCAGCACGUUAUGGUGGGAACUCAUAGGAGACUGCCGGGGUCAACUCGGA
rnacentral:rRNA from 1 species